AGCGAACGCUGGCGGCAGGCUUAACACAUGCAAGUCGAGCGGGCAUCCUUGUGGUGUCAGCGGCAGACGGGUGAGUAGCGCGUGGGAACGUGCCCUUCGGUUCGGAAUAACUCAGGGAAACUUGAGCUAAUACCGGAUACGUGCGAGAGCAGAAAGGUUUAUCUGCCGAAGGAUCGGCCCGCGUCUGAUUAGCUAGUUGGUGAGGUUACGGCUCACCAAGGCGACGAUCAGUAGCUGGUCUGAGAGGAUGAUCAGCCACACUGGGACUGAGACACGGCCCAGACUCCUACGGGAGGCAGCAGUGGGGAAUAUUGGACAAUGGGGGCAACCCUGAUCCAGCCAUGCCGCGUGAGUGAUGACGGCCUUAGGGUUGUAAAGCUCUUUUCUCCGGGACGAUAAUGACGGUACCGGAGGAAUAAGCCCCGGCUAACUUCGUG
rnacentral:rRNA from 1 species